GCCAGUUGUUUCUGCUACUCUUGCUUUGAAGAAAGUCCUUCAUUUAACUGGCGUCUCCCUGUGUUUGAGGUUUCCUGAGAACACUUGUGCAAGAAUGCCUUAGAAAAUGUCAGGGGGCAAAUGAAGAAGGACUUUCUGGGGUACUGUCAGGGAAAGAAUUGGGAUGACAGGCCAAUCCAGGAAGAAGAAGGGUUCGUAGGAACUGCUUCAGGCUUUUGUCACUUACGCUUGGAAUGAAGCCCAUCAGGUAUGGUUUAACCUCGAUAAGAAGCUUUUUGAGUGGUCUUCCCUGAGACCACACCUCCUCAUAGAAAGCUUUGGCCUUCUGUUUUUCUGGGCAUGACUUUUUUCCUUUUUCCUUUUUUUUAAACUUUGAGAUAUGGCCUCAUUUAGCCUAGGCUGGCCUUGGACUAAACGUGUAGCCAAGAAUCACCUUAAAUUUUGCCUGGAUCUAUUUUCCAAGUGC